GACGUAGGGCGCGAGCGUUGUCCGGAUUUAUUGGGCGUAAAGAGCUCGUAGGCGGCUUGUCGCGUCGACCGUGAAAACUUGGGGCUCAACCCCAAGCCUGCGGUCGAUACGGGCAGGCUCGAGUUCGGUAGGGGAGACUGGAAUUCCUGGUGUAGCGGUGAAAUGCGCAGAUAUCAGGAGGAACAUCAGUGGCGAAGGCGACACGCUGGGCCAUACCUGACGCUAAAGCGCGACAGCAUGGGGAGCAAACGGG
rnacentral:rRNA from 1 species